rnacentral:rRNA from 1 species
UACGUAGGGUGCGAGCGUUAAUCGGAAUUACUGGGCGUAAAGCGUGCGCAGGCGGCCGCGCAAGUCGAGUGUGAAAGCCCCGGGCUUAACUUGGGAAUUGCGCUCGAAACUACGUGGCUGGAGUAUGGCAGAGGAAGGUGGAAUUCCACGUGUAGCGGUGAAAUGCGUAGAGAUGUGGAGGAACACCGAUGGCGAAGGCAGCCUUCUGGGCCAAUACUGACGCUCAUGCACGAAAGCGUGGGGAGCAAACAGG